AGCGGCAGACGGGUGAGUAACGCGUGGGAACGUACCUUUUGGUUCGGAACAACACAGGGAAACUUGUGCUAAUACCGGAUAAGCCCUUACGGGGAAAGAUUUAUCGCCGAAAGAUCGGCCCGCGUCUGAUUAGCUAGUUGGUGAGGUAAUGGCUCACCAAGGCGACGAUCAGUAGCUGGUCUGAGAGGAUGAUCAGCCACAUUGGGACUGAGACACGGCCCAAACUCCUACGGGAGGCAGCAGUGGGGAAUAUUGGACAAUGGGGGCAACCCUGAUCCAGCCAUGCCGCGUGAGUGAUGAAGGCCCUAGGGUUGUAAAGCUCUUUUGUGCGGGAAGAUAAUGACGGUACCGCAAGAAUAAGCCCCGGCUAACUUCGUGCCAGCAGCCGCGGUAAU
rnacentral:rRNA from 1 species